GUCUAUCUUCGGGGCAGGGUGAAAAUCCCGACCGGCGGUGAUGAACAAGCAAAUAUUUUUCGUUCUAAGCCCGCGAGCCGUUAAGGCAGGAUUUGGUGUGAUUCCAAAGCCGACAGUACAGUCUGGAUGGGAGAAGAUGGAG
rnacentral:ncRNA from 2 species